rnacentral:rRNA from 1 species
GGGCGGGGAGUGGCGCACUGCUCAGUAACACGUAGCUAACCUAACCUCAAGACGGAAAUAACCCCGGGAAACUGGGGUCAAUGUCCGAUAGAUGUGAAUUCCUGGAAUGGUGUCACAUCCAAACGUCAACACACCAUGUUGUGCGAACGCUUGAGGAUGGGGCUGCGGCCGAUCAGGCUGUUGGUGGGGUAAUGGCCCACCAAACCUUUGACCGGUAUGGGCCAUGAGAGUGGUAGCCCAGAGAUGGACACUGAGACAAGGGUCCAGGCCCUACGGGGCGCAGCCGGUACGAAACCUCCACAAUGCACGCAAGUGCGAUGGGGUUAUCUCGAGUGCUAUCUGAAAAAGGUAGCUUUUCCAUGGUCUAAAUAGCCGUGGGAAUAAGGGGGGGGCAAGACUGGUGUCAGCCGCCGCGGUAACACCAGCCCCCCGAGUGGUAGGGAUGUUUAUUUGGCCUAAAGCGUCCGUAGCCGGCUAAGUAAAUUUCUCGUUAAAUCCAACGUCCUAAGCGUUAGGCUGCGAGAAAGACUGCUUAGCUAGAGGGUGGGAGAGGUCAGCGGUAUUCCUGGGGUAGGGGCGAAAUCCAUUGAACCCAGGAGGACCACCAGUGGCGAAGGCUGCUGACUAGAACACGCCUGACGGUGAGGGACGAAAGCUGGGGUAGCGAAUCGGAUUAGAUACCCGAGUAGUCCCAGCCGUAAACGAUGCAGACUAGGUGUUGGGUUGGCCACGCGCCGACUCAGUGCCACAGGGAAGCCAUUAAGUCUGCCGCCUGGGAAGUACGGCCGCAAGGCUGAAACUUAAAGGAAUUGGCGGGGGAGCACCACCAGGCGUGAAGCCUGCGGUUUAAUUGGAGUCAACGCCGGGAACCUUACCGGGAGCGACAGCAGAGUGAAGGCCAGGCUAAAGGUCUUGCCAGACGAGCUGAGAGGAGGUGCAUGGCCGUCGCCAGUUCGUGCCGUGAGGUGUCCUCUUAAGUGAGGUAACGAACGAGACCCGCGCCGCAUGUUGCUAACAAGUCCUAAAGGGAUGUUGAGCACUCUGCGGGACCGCAGCCGACAAGGCUGAGGAAGGUGCGGGCAACGGCAGGUCAGUAUGCCCCGAAUCUCCCGGGCCACACGCGGGCUGCAAUGGUAGAGACAGAGGGCUGCAACCCCGAAAGGGGAAGCCAAUCCCUAAACUCUACCUCAGUUGGGAUUGAGGGCUGCAACCCGCCCUCAUGAACAUGGAAUGCCUAGUAACUGCCAGUCAUCAUCUGGCGGUGAAUACGUCCCUGCUCCUUGCACACACUGCCCGUCGAACCACCCGAAUGAGGUUGGGGUGAGGCAUGAUCGAAUGUUGGUCGUGUCGAACCUGGGCCUCGUAAGGAGGGUUAAGUCGUAACAAGGUG